rnacentral:rRNA from 1 species
ACCCCUUCCCAUUCCGAACAGGAUGGUUAAGCACUAAAGCGCUGAUGGUACUACAAGGGAGGCCUUGUGGGAGAGUAAGUCGUCGCCGGGU